GAUGAAGAACGUAGCGAAAUGCGAUACGUAGUGUGAAUUGCAGAAUUCAGUGAAUCAUCGAAUCUUUGAACGCACAUUGCACCUCUCGGUAUUCCGGGAGGUAUGUCUGUUCGAGCGUCAUUUGUACCCUCAAGCUCUGCUUGGUGUUGGGUGUUUGUUCCGCCUCUGUGUGUGAACUCGCCUCAAAACAAUUGGCAGCCGGCGUACUUGUUUCGGAGCGCAGCACAUUUUGCGAUCCAGAUCAACGUACAGCGGCAUCCAAGAAGCCUUAUUUAACGCUCUUGACCUCGGAUCAGGUAGGGAUACCCGCUGAACUUAAGCAUAUCAAUAAACGGAGGA
rnacentral:misc_RNA from 1 species